AGGACGAACGCUGGCGGCGUGCCUAACACAUGCAAGUGGAGCGACGAACCGGGCUUCGGCCCGGGGCAAAGCCGCGAACGGGUGAGUAACACGUGGGUAACCUGCCCCGAUGACCGGGACAACCCGAGGAAACUCGGGCUAAUACCAGAUGUGCCCUGCGAUCGCAAGAUUGUUGGGGAAAGGAAGCUUCGGCCUCCGCAUCGGGAUGGGCCCGCGGCGCAUUAGCUUGUUGGUGAGGUAACGGCUCACCAAGGCGACGAUGCGUAGCUGGUCUGAGAGGGCGCGACGGACGACACUGGAACUGAAACACGGUCCAGACUCCUACGGGAGGCAGCAGUGGGGAAUUUUGCGCAAUGGGCGAAAGCCUGACGCAGCGACGCCGCGUGGGGGAUGAAGGCCUUCGGGUUGUAACCCCUUUCGGCAGGGACGAAGCGAAGUGACGGUACCUGCAAAGAAGCGCCGGCUAACUACGUGCCAGCAGCGC
rnacentral:rRNA from 1 species